rnacentral:tRNA from 1 species
GCGCGAGUAGCUCAAUUGGAUAGAGUGUUGGCCUCCGAAGCCGAAGGUUGCGGGUUCAACUCCCGCCUCGCGCACCA